UGAAAUGUGAUCCCAAUGUUGGAAGUGU
rnacentral:piRNA from 1 species